CUCCUCCCUCCAGCAUCCAGUGUUUACAAUCAUGCGUGUCUUCCGCCCUUGUUUAGCCCUCUUUAUUUCGUUUUGUUUGUGUGCAAAGGGGCAGCAAGCCGAAUCCAAAACGAACGAAAGGCCGUUUAUGGUUCUCCAGAAUCAAAACUUGGUGCUGCUCGUGAGUGUCCUGUCGGUGAUCGUACUGGUGAUGGUUAUCAUGGCAGUCUGCGUGUACAAACCACUACGCCGCCGUUAAGCUGCUGGGCCACAGAAGAAGAAGAAGAAAUACCAUCAUCUCAUCCUGACCCAAGAUGGCCUAUCAGUACCCCCGCACCGCCGAUACUUCGUCAUCACGCCUUUUGAACUGGGAUACUUUAGAUUAAAAUGUCCUGGCCACUGAGGACACGACCAGGCAGGCAAACUGUAUUCAUAUCUUCUACAAGCAUUCCUUGAAUGUCUUAAUGGUUGUGAAAGUUAUUUUAUUAUUUUUUACACUGGAAGCGCUUUACAUAUUUAUUUGUAUAAUAUUGACUGGGAAAGGGAAAAUAAAAGGGAGCAAAUUGCAAGUUCCAAGGUAAUACAGAUGAGGCAUAUUCGUGUAGGGUGACGCUGCAUGUUGCUCUGAUUGCACUGCUUCGCAGGGAGGAAACUGGGGUUUACAAAUGGACCUAGUCAGAUGUUGCCUUUUUUGCCUUUUAUUUGCACGUCGGUGAUCUGCUGUUUUGAAAAAUAAAUCUAAUUUUAUGUUAGCUAUCUACGAAAUGUUUCAAAACACCAGCCUCCAAUUAAAAAUGUAGGCUAGUAGUCAGUCAUACCCGACUUUCUACUUCAUUUUUUAGUUGAAGCUGUUUAGUAGUUGAGCUGUUUAGUGGUUUGUUGCUCCUGUUUUACAGAACACUUAGCUUGCAGGAUGUGAUCAAAAUUAUUUUUGUAUUUUUACAUUAUUUAUGAAAAAUCGACCUAACUUGUUUGCAGUUAUUUAUGGCAGAGUUGUGAUAAUAUAUUAAGGGUUUUAUUAUUUUGGGUCCAUUGUAGGCCUAUAUAUCGUUAAAUAAACUCUUUCCAUACAUGCAUUUUUUACCACUUU